GAUGAACGCUGGCGGCGUGCCUAAUACAUGCAAGUCGAGCGAACGGACGAGAAGCUUGCUUUUCUGAUGUUAGCGGCGGACGGGUGAGUAACACGUGGAUAACCUACCUAUAAGACUGGGAUAACUUCGGGAAACCGGAGCUAAUACCGGAUAAUAUUUUGAACCGCAUGGUUCAAAAGUGAAAGACGGUCUUGCUGUCACUUAUAGAUGGAUCCGCGCUGCAUUAGCUAGUUGGUAAGGUAACGGCUUACCAAGGCAACGAUGCAUAGCCGACAUGAGAGGGUGAUCGGCCACACUGGAACUGAGACACGGUCCAGACUCCUACGGGAGGCAGCAGUAGGAUAUCUUCCGCAAGCGGCGAAAGCCUGACGGAGCAACGCCGCGUGAGUGAUGAAGGUCUUCGGAUCGUAAAACUCUGUUAUUAGGGAAGAACAUAUGUGUAAGUAACUGUGCACAUCUUGACGGUACCUAAUAAGAAAGCCACGGCUAACUACGUG
rnacentral:rRNA from 1 species